CUCCGGGGGCAAGAGGUUCGACUCGAGCGCAGCGAGAGAACGUUGCGUCAGCAACGGCCCGCAGGGCGAGCUACGCAGUGGCGAGUCAUCCUCUAUCACCGGCAG
rnacentral:sRNA from 2 species